rnacentral:rRNA from 1 species
CUACGGGUCGCUCCAGUGAGGAAUAUUGCACAAUGGGGGGAACCCUGAUGCAGCAACGCCGCGUGGAGGAUGACGCAUUUCGGUGUGUAAACUCCUUUUAUAUGUCAAGAAAAUGACGGUAGCAUAUGAAUAAGCACCGGCUAACUCCGUGGCCAGCAGCCGCGGUAAUACGGGAGGGUGCAAGCGUUACUCGGAAUCACUGGGCGUAAAGGACGCGUAGGCGGGUCGGAAAGUCAGGUGUGAAAUCCUACAGCUUAACUGUAGAACUGCACUUGAAACUUCUAAUCUAGAGUAUGGGAGGGGGAGAUGGAAUUAGUGGUGUAGGGGUAAAAUCCGUAGAUAUCACUAGGAAUACCUAAAGCGAAGGCGAUCUCCUGGAACAUUACUGACGCUAAGGCGUGAAAGCGUGGGGAGCAAACAGGAUUAGAUACCCGUGUAGUC